rnacentral:tRNA from 1 species
UAGGAAGUGGUGUAGCGGAAGCACCAAGAGUUUUGAUCUCUUGAGGAUGGGUUCAAACCCCUUCUUCCUAA